GAUGAACGCUGGCGGCGUGCCUAAUACAUGCAAGUCGAGCGAACAGACGAGGAGCUUGCUCCUCUGACGUUAGCGGCGGACGGGUGAGUAACACGUGGAUAACCUACCUAUAAGACUGGGAUAACUUCGGGAAACCGGAGCUAAUACCGGAUAAUAUAUUGAACCGCAUGGUUCAAUAGUGAAAGACGGUUUUGCUGUCACUUAUAGAUGGAUCCGCGCCGCAUUAGCUAGUUGGUAAGGUAACGGCUUACCAAGGCAACGAUGCGUAGCCGACCUGAGAGGGGGAUCGGCCAACCUGGAACUGAGACACGGUCCAGACCCCUACGGGAGGCAGCAGGAGGGAAUCUUCCGGAAUGGGCGAAAGCCUGACGGAGCAAAGCCGCGGGAGGUAAGAAGGUCUUCGGAUCGGAAAACCCUGUUAUUAGGGAAGAACAAAUGUGUAAGUAACUAUGCACGUCUUGACGGUACCUAAUCAGAAAGCCACGGCUAACUACGUG
rnacentral:rRNA from 1 species